AACGAACGCUGGCGGCAUGCCUAACACAUGCAAGUCGAACGAGACCUUCGGGUCUAGUGGCGCACGGGUGCGUAACGCGUGGGAACCUGCCCUUAGGUUCGGAAUAACUCCCCGAAAGGGGUGCUAAUACCGGAUAAUGUCUUCGGACCAAAGAUUUAUCGCCUUUGGAUGGGCCCGCGUUGGAUUAGCUAGUUGGUAGGGUAAAAGCCUACCAAGGCGACGAUCCAUAGCUGGUCUGAGAGGAUGAUCAGCCACACUGGGACUGAGACACGGCCCAGACUCCUACGGGAGGCAGGAGUGGGGAAUAUUGGACAAUGGGCGGAAGGCUGAACCAGCAAUGACGCGUGAGUGAUGAAGGCCUUAGGGUUGUAAAGCUCUUUUACCCGGGAUGAUAAUGACAGUACCGGGAGAAUAAGCUCCGGCUAACUCCGUG
rnacentral:rRNA from 1 species